rnacentral:rRNA from 1 species
GAUGAACGCUGGCGGCGUGCCUAAUACAUGCAAGUCGAGCGAACGGACGAGAAGCUUGCUUUUCUGAUGUUAGCGGCGGACGGGUGAGUAACACGUGGAUAACCUACCUAUAAGACUGGGAUAACUUCGGGAAACCGGAGCUAAUACCGGAUAAUAUUUUGAACCGCAUGGUUCAAUAGUGAAAGACGGUCUUGCUGUCACUUAUAGAUGGAUCCGCGCUGCAUUAGCUAGUUGGUAAGGUAACGGCUUACCAAGGCAACGAUGCAUAGCCGACCUGAGAGGGUGAUCGGCCACACUGGAACUGAGACACGGUCCAGACUCCUACGGGAGGCAGCAGUAGGGAAUCUUCCGCAAUGGGCGAAAGCCUGACGGAGCAACGCCGCGUGAGUGAUGAAGGUCUUCGGAUCGUAAAACUCUGUUAUUAGGGAAGAACAUAUGUGUAAGUAACUGUGCACAUCAUGACGGUACCUAAUCAGAAAGCCACGGCUAACUACGUG